AUGUAAUGUAAUGCCUACAAUGUUAAUGCACCAAAUUCCAUUAGAAAUCUGCAGUUAAGAACGCUUGGGCUAGAGUAGUACUGGUAUGGGUGACAUCCCUGUACGUCCUAGUGUUUUACAUG
rnacentral:rRNA from 1 species